UGAACGCUGGCGGCAGGCCCUAACACAUGUCAAGUCCGAACGGUAACAGGAAGCAGCUUGCUGCUUCGCUGACGAGUGGCGGACGGGUGAGUAAUGUCUGGGAAACUGCCUGAUGGAGGGGGAUAACUACUGGAAACGGUAGCUAAUACCGCAUAACGUCGCAAGACCAAAGAGGGGGACCUUCGGGCCUCUUGCCAUCGGAUGUGCCCAGAUGGGAUUAGCUAGUAGGUGGGGUAACGGCUCACCUAGGCGACGAUCCCUAGCUGGUCUGAGAGGAUGACCAGCCACACUGGAACUGAGACACGGUCCAAACUCCUACGGGAGGCAGCAGUGGGGAAUAUUUUACAAUGGGCGCAAGCCUGAUGCAGCCAUGCCGCGUGUAUGAACAAGGCCUUCGGGUUUUUAACCACUUUGUUCGGGGUAAAGUACUUUCAGCGGGGAGGAAGGCGAUAAGGUUAAUAACCUUGUCGAUUGACGUUACCCGCAGAAGAAGCACCGGCUAACUCCGUGCCAGCAGCCGCGGUAAUACGGAGGGUGCAAGCGUUAAUCGGAAUUACUGGGCGUAAAGCGCACGCAGGCGGUCUGUCAAGUCGGAUGUGAAAUCCCCGGGCUCAACCUGGGAACUGCAUUCGAAACUGGCAGGCUAGAGUCUUGUAGAGGGGGGUAGAAUUCCAGGUGUAGCGGUGAAAUGCGUAGAGAUCUGGAGGAAUACCGGUG
rnacentral:rRNA from 1 species